rnacentral:rRNA from 1 species
CGUAUGGAGCGAGCGUUGUCCGGAAUUAUUGGGCGUAAAGGGUGCGCAGGCGGCUUUACAAGUUGGAUGUGAAAUAUUGUGGCUCAACCACAAACGUGCAUCCAAAACUGCAAAGCUUGAGUUAAGGAGAGGUAAGUGGAAUUCCUGGUGUAGCGGUGGAAUGCGUAGAUAUCAGGAGGAAUACCGGUGGCGAAGGCGACUUACUGGACUUAAACUGACGCUCAGGCACGAAAGCGUGGGGGAGCAAACAGGAUU